rnacentral:lncRNA from 1 species
CUCACUGCAACCUCCACCUCCCGGGUUCAACCAAUUCUGCCUCAGUCUCCCAAGUAGCUGGAAUUAGAGGUGCCCGCCACCAUGCCUGGCUAAUUUUUAUAUUUUUAGUAGAGACGGGGUUUCACCAUGUUGGCCAGGCUGGUCUUGAACUGCUGACCUCAAGUGGUCCACCCGCCUCGGCCUCCCAAAGUGCUGGGAUUACAGGCAUGAGCCACUGCUCCCGACCUGCAAUUCUUGCUAUGAGUUAAUAAAGGGAUCCAGUAACUGCUCCCAGGGAAAGGAUAUCAGCUUGACCUGCAGCUGACAGCUAGUAGUAACUGUAAGCCACAUGAGCGAACAAUCUAGGCCAUCCAGCCCAGAAGAACAUUAAGAUGACUGCAGCUCCAGCCAACAUCCGGCUACAGCAACCUACGAGAAGCCAAAUAAGAGCAGCGUAGCUCAGUCCUCCCAGAAUUUGGGACCCAGAAAAUAAAAGGGAAACUAAACAGUUAGGGAAGCUGAAAAGUCCAAGAGUUGAGGAGCUGAAUCUGGUGAGAACCUUCCUGCUGGUGGGGACUCUCUGCAGAGUCCUGAUGCAGUGCAGAACAUCACAUGGGUGUAUACGGUGAGAACAUCAUGUCUUUGGUCCAUGGCAACCGAUCAUUAUUGAAACUUACCCCUGUCGCAUCACAGUACGUCAGUAAAAUGUAAUAAUUUACAUAACAUACUAGGGAUUUUACACUCUUCCUGCUCAUUAAAGUACCCGUGCCUGGCAGAGAAAGGAAGAUGGAGCUACCAUCUUGACCAUGUCUAGUCCUUAGUUCCUGCCAGCAUUCACUGUCAGGCCUCUGAGCCCAAGUGAAGCCAUCAUAUCCCCUGUGGCCUGCACGUACACAUCCAGAUGGCCGGU